rnacentral:rRNA from 1 species
CACGUAGGGUGCGAGCGUUAAUCGGAAUUACUGGGCGUAAAGCGUGCGCAGGCGGUUUUGUAAACCAGAUGUGAAAGCCCCGGGCUUAACCUGGGAAUGGCAUUUGGGACUGCAAGGCUUGAGUGCGGCAGAGGAGACUGGAAUUCCCGGUGUAGCAGUGAAAUGCGUAGAUAUCGGGAGGAAUACCGAUGGCGAAGGCAGGUCUCUGGGCUGACACUGACGCUCAUGCACGAAAGCGUGGGGAGCAAACAGG